rnacentral:tRNA from 1 species
GUUUUAAUAGUUUAAUUCAAAACAUUGGUCUUGUAAACCAAAAAUAAAAUAUUUUUUAAAACU